rnacentral:tRNA from 3 species
GGGUGAUUAGCUCAGCGGGAGAGCGCUCCGUUCACACCGGAGAGGUCACUGGUUCGAUCCCAGUAUUGCCCACCA